GGCUCGGUGGCGCAUGGCCGCGCAUUCACUACUAUUGGAAGACCAACUUGGAAUCUAUGUAGAGACUCCCGUUCGAUUCGGGGCUGGGCCG